UAGGGGGCCAUCCCGGCUUACCAACCCGAUGCAAACUGCGAAUACCGGAGAAUGUUAUCACGGGAGACACACGGCGGGUGCUAACGUCCGUCGUGAAGAGGGAAACAACCCAGACCGCCAGCUAAGGUCCCAAAGUCAUGGUUAAGUGGGAAACGAUGUGGGAAGGCCCAGACAGCCAGGAUGUUGGCUUAGAAGCAGCCAUCAUUUAAAGAAAGCGUAAUAGCUCACUGGUCGAGUCGGCCUGCGCGGAAGAUGUAACGGGGCUAAACCAUGCACCGAAGCUGCGGCAGCGACACUGUGUGUUGUUGGGUAGGGGAGCGUUCUGUAAGCCUGUGAAGGUGUGUCGUGAGGCAUGCUGGAGGUAUCAGAAGUGCGAAUGCUGACAUAAGUAACGAUAAAGCGGGUGAAAAGCCCGCUCGCCGGAAGACCAAGGGUUCCUGUCCAACGUUAAUCGGGGCAGGGUGAGUCGACCCCUAAGGCGAGGCCGAAAGGCGUAGUCGAUGGGAAACGGGUUAAUAUUCCCGUACUUGGUGUUACUGCGAAGGGGGGACGGAGAAGGCUAUGUUGGCCGGGCGACGGUUGUCCCGGUUUAAGCGUGUAGGUGUGUGUUCCAGGUAAAUCCGGUUCACUUUAACACUGAGGCGUGACGACGAGGCACUACGGUGCUGAAGCAACAAAUGCCCUGCUUCCAGGAAAAGCCUCUAAGCAUCAGGUAACAUCAAAUCGUACCCCAAACCGACACAGGUGGUCAGGUAGAGAAUACCAAGGCGCUUGAGAGAACUCGGGUGAAGGAACUAGGCAAAAUGGUGCCGUAACUUCGGGAGAAGGCACGCUGACACGUAGGUGAAGUGAUUUACUCAUGGAGCUGAAGUCAGUCGAAGAUACCAGCUGGCUGCAACUGUUUAUUAAAAACACAGCACUGUGCAAACACGAAAGUGGACGUAUACGGUGUGACGCCUGCCCGGUGCCGGAAGGUUAAUUGAUGGGGUCAGCGCAAGCGAAGCUCCUGAUCGAAGCCCCGGUAAACGGCGGCCGUAACUAUAACGGUCCUAAGGUAGCGAAAUUCCUUGUCGGGUAAGUUCCGACCUGCACGAAUGGCGUAAUGAUGGCCAGGCUGUCUCCACCCGAGACUCAGUGAAAUUGAACUCGCUGUGAAGAUGCAGUGUACCCGCGGCAAGACGGAAAGACCCCGUGAACCUUUACUAUAGCUUGACACUGAACAUUGAGCCUUGAUGUGUAGGAUAGGUGGGAGGCUUUGAAGUGUGGACGCCAGUCUGCAUGGAGCCGACCUUGAAAUACCACCCUUUAAUGUUUGAUGUUCUAACGUGGACCCGUUACCCGGGUUGCGGACAGUGUCUGGUGGGUAGUUUGACUGGGGCGGUCUCCUCCUAAAGAGUAACGGAGGAGCACGAAGGUUGGCUAAUC
rnacentral:rRNA from 1 species